rnacentral:rRNA from 1 species
UAGGGAAUCUUCCGCAAUGGGCGAAAGCCUGACGGAGCAACGCCGCGUGAGUGAUGAAGGUCUUCGGAUCGUAAAACUCUGUUAUUAGGGAAGAACAAAUGUGUAAGUAACUAUGCACGUCUUGACGGUACCUAAUCAGAAAGCCACGGCUAACUACGUGCCAGCAGCCGCGGUAAUACGUAGGUGGCAAGCGUUAUCCGGAAUUAUUGGGCGUAAAGCGCGCGUAGGCGGUUUUUUAAGUCUGAUGUGAAAGCCCACGGCUCAACCGUGGAGGGUCAUUGGAAACUGGAAAACUUGAGUGCAGAAGAGGAAAGUGGAAUUCCAUGUGUAGCGGUGAAAUGCGCAGAGAUAUGGAGGAACACCAGUGGCCAAGGCGACUUUCUGGUCUGUAACUGACGCUGAUGUGCGAAAGCGUGGGAAUCAAACAGG